CCGAUUGGGAUGACCACAUAAAAAGACCACGUCAAAUGCGAUACCCGAAACCCUCUCCCCCCGGUUCAAACCUCUUCGAUUCGCAACGGCUUUGAUAGUAAAUAACAUAUUUUUACGUCCUGUGUUAAAAUGCAAUGCAAGCCCCGAGAUGUGGUACUCAGCAAUGGAAUUGGUCUGACUAGUACUGAGAUGGAAAUUUUCCAUAAAGCCUCUGCCUUUUCAAAUUCUAUUAAAUUCAUGCCAAUAGACGAUAAAUCAAUUAAAAUGAGUUGUUUAGGCCGUCGUCGUCGCGUAAUUAUGGAGCUUAAGCAUGUAGGACGACAACACGACGACGGUAUACGGCAACCCCUAGUCAAUGAAAAUAAUUAUAAAUAAGUAAAGUCCCAUGCAGGGGCCGAGUUUCAGAAUUAUAGUCGUCGCUUUGUUUACAACGUACGGCAAAUCAUAGAUUUUCACGUCUUUUAUAUACAACGCCUGCAUUUCAAGCUGUAAUUAACAAGUUCAACUUAAAAUUCGGUUCAGUAGAACUCUUCCCAAACAUAAAGCCAAUGUUUUCAACUUUUAUACUGCAGUACUAACUGAAUUCAUAGGAAUUAUAAUAUAAUUACGACAAGUUUUCUUUACUAUCAUUUAUUUGAAGGAAUUUGUUUUGGCCGUCGCGCGCGUCGUCGUGUUGCCGUCCUAUACAUGCUUAAGCUCCCUAUAAUAAGUCGUGUUUACACUACAAGCCUUGGCCUACAUUUUAACAGUGUAAACAAACUUUGGCCUAGCCUUGGCCUGACCUAGGCCAGGAAAUCUGGGCUCAC